rnacentral:rRNA from 1 species
UUGGAGGGCAAGUCUGGUGCCAGCAGCCGCGGUAAUUCCAGCUCCAAUAGCGUAUAUUAAAGUUGUUGCAGUUAAAAAGCUCGUAGUUGAGUUUCGGGAUCAAUACGUCGGUCGUGCCUCCGGUAUGUACUGGCGUCGUUGAUUCCUCCUUCCUGAUGAUCCGUAAUGCCAUUUAUUUGGUGUUGCGGGGAAUUUGGGCUGUUACUUUGAAAAAAUUAGAGUGUUUAAAGCAAGCUAACGCUUGAAUACAUUAGCAUGGAAUAAUGAAAUAGGACGUUCGAUUCUAUUUUGUUGGUUUCUAGGAUUGACGUAAUGAUUAAUAGGGAUAGUUGGGGGCAUUAGUAUUCAAUUGUCAGAGGUGAAAUUCUUGGAUUUAUUGAAGACUAACUACUGCGAAAGCAUUUGCCAAGGAUGUUCUCAUUAAUCAAGAACGAAAGUUAGGGGAUCGAAGACGAUCAGAUACCGUCGUAGUCUUAACCAUAAACUAUGCCGACUAGGGAUCGGAUGAUGUUAAUUUUUUAAUGACUCAUUCGGCGCCUUACGGGAAAC